rnacentral:rRNA from 1 species
AUUGAACGCUGGCGGCAGGCCUAACACAUGCAAGUCGAACGAGUGGCGGACGGGUGAGUAAUGUCUGGGAAACUGCCCGAUGGAGGGGGAUAACUACUGGAAACGGUAGCUAAUACCGCAUACCAUCGGAUGUGCCCAGAUGGGAUUAGCUAGUGGGUGGGGUAACGGCUCACCUAGGCGACGAUCCCUAGCUGGUCUGAGAGGAUGAACAGCCACACGGGAACUGAGACACGGUCCAGACUCCUACGGGAGGCAGCAGUGGGGAAUAUUGCACAAUGGGCGAAAGCCUGAUACAGCAAUGCCGCGUGUGUGAAGAAGGCCUUCGGGUUGUAAAGCACUUUUAGCGGGGAGGCGUUACUCGCAGAAGAAGCACCGGCUAACUCCGUGCCAGCAGCCGCGGUAAUAC